GGCGCACGGGUGAGUAACACGUGGGUAAUGUUCCCUCAGGCGGGGGAUAACCUUCCGAAAGGAGGGCUAAUACCGCAUAUGACCACGGCUUCGCGAGAGGCCGCGGUAAAAGCAGGCCUCUAUACAUAAGCUUGCACCUGAGGAUCAGCCCGCGGCCCAUCAUGGUAGUUGGUAGGGUAAUGGCCUACCAAGCCUAAGACGGGUAGCUGGUCUGAGAGGACGACCAGCCACACCGGAACUGAGACACGGUCCGGACUCCUACGGGAGGCAGCAGUGGGGAAUAUUGGACAAUGGGGGAAACCCUGAUCCAGCGACGCCGCGUGUGUGAAGAAGGCCUGCGGGUUGUAAAGCACUUUUAGUGGGGACAAAAAGCCACGGACUAAUACUCUGUGGUCUUGAUUUAACCCACAGAAAAAGCACCGGCUAACUCUGUGCCAGCAGCCGCGG
rnacentral:rRNA from 1 species